rnacentral:lncRNA from 1 species
UACACUUUUUCAACAGCUUCCCCCUCCACCUCCAACACAUUAUUAUUACAUCUUGAUCCUUAGUCAAGACAAGAGGAAGGUCUACACUGAUUUCCAUGUAGAAGGAAGAAGCACAAAAGUCAAUGCUUCUAAAUACUUUUGAUUAUUCAUUGCUUAUUUCCCACCCAUUAUUGCAACAAUUCACAUUAUAAUUUUAGUGCAUAACAAGGAAACAAAAAGAGCAUAGUAAACUAUAUAAACCAUAACCCUUCAACUCAAACCAGAGAAGAAUGGAAUUCCAGUAGAGCUCAACCAAUUAUUACCUUGUAUGAACUCCCCAACUGUGAAUUGACUUGCCUCAGUAGAACUACUGAUGACCUUAUA